AUCAAGUUCCCUCACGAGCAGACGUCUGUGCCGAUCCAUUGAUUUUAUUUAUCCAUCCUGCACCAAGGCUGCUCUUUACAGAUCUGGAUGUGCGAAAGGCCCCUGGGUAUAAACCACACCUCUGUAGCCCCCUUGCAUCUGGGCUACCAUGUGACUUAUUUCGCAGUUAGGGUGAGCUGGAAGUGAAAUUGUCAGUUUCUUGCCUAAACCUUAGACCUGUGAGCUUUUGUUCAUGUUUUCUUGAUGCUUCAAGCCACCAUGAAUAGUCUAGCUAUCAUUCUGGUGGGACCCACAGGAAGACGGAGCACGGGGGAAGACAGACAAGAAAGACAGAAGCUCAGCAUCCUAGUGACCAGCUGAGUCCAGCCCAGAAGUAGCCACCAGCAUGACCCUGAAAUGGUCUACCUUGCCCCUCCCUGAUUUUUGGUUUCCUGGUCACCAGGAGAUGACUCACCUUGCUCCACCAUGUGCUUCCUACCAUGUUGUUCUGGCUCACCCCAGGUCCAGAACCAUAGAGCCAAGGGACUACGGACUGAAACCUUCCCUCCUUUAAGCUGAUGUUCUCAGGACCUUGUGGUAAAGGAACACGAUCUCAUGAUGACAGGCCUUUGGAAUUCCUUCUGAUUUCCUUUGAGGCCUAAGAAGUGGUCAAGUGUGUAAACAUUCUGGACGUGCUUAUAAAGACCGUGCUGUCAGGGCGGGGGUGGGGCUCCGUGGUAGAGCAUGUGUGGAGAGCCUGGGUUUAAGCCCAGGACCAAAGAGACAAAAAAGGAAAAAAUAAAGCCUGUUUGUCAAUUUGU